rnacentral:rRNA from 1 species
CUGCGAGUGAAGCGGGAAAAGCUCAAAUUUAAAAUCUGGCGGUCUUUGGCCGUCCGAGUUGUAAUCUGGAGAAGCGUUUUCCGCGUCGGACCGUGUACAAGUCUCCUGGAACGGAGCGUCAUAGAGGGUGAGAAUCCCGUCUUUGACACGGACUGCCGAUGCUAUGUGAUGCGCUCUCAAAGAGUCGAGUUGUUUGGGAAUGCAGCUCAAAAUGGGUGGUAAAUUCCAUCUAAAGCUAAAUAUUGGCGAGAGACCGAUAGCGAACAAGUACCGUGAGGGAAAGAUGAAAAGAACUCUGGAAAGAGAGUUAAACAGUACGUGAAAUUGUUGAAAGGGAAACGCUUGAAGUCAGUCGCGUCUGCUGGGGAUCAACCUUGCUCUUCUGCUUGGUGUACUUCCUAGUUUGACGGGUCAGCAUCGGUUUUGAUUGCUGGAAAAAGGGUGGAGGAAUGUGGCAUCUUCGGGUGUGUUAUAGCCUCUGCUCUCAUACAGCGGUUGGGACCGAGGAACUCAGCACGCCUUUUUGGCCGGGGUUCGCCCACGUACGUACU